GGAGAAGAGGCCAGGGAACCCCAAAGGAGCAUUUCAUAUUGGAAGGAGGGAUAUCUAUGCAUGGGGAAAACUCCAGAAAUUAUGAAAACUCUGAAGGACAGCAUGGCCAUUUUGGAAAAGCAAGACAAAAAACAAGAUCUAGAGUGUACGAAGAGUCACUAAGAGGCACAAAUAUGAAGGAAGGACAUUUGCAAGAACUGGCCAGAGAUCUAUAAAUCAGGAGUUAAUGUUGAGAAAUAAGGCAUUUGUUGUAUAAUUCCAGUCCAUUGGCAAGGAAGGUAAUGUGCAAAUAAUUUAGGAAUUUUCUACAGAAGAAAGCAGCCAUUGUGCCUUUUUGUGUAUGAGUACUUGAAUUUGAUUCUUACUUCAUUGAAAAACUUACCCAUGUUUGUGCCUUGUGGCUUUUUAAAAAAUAAAACAAUACGUAGUUAUUAUAGAA